CGCCUGAUUGCACAUGGUGUGCACCUGCCUGUCUGAAAAAUAAUUCGCGAGUAGACUGCAGGAGGUCCCCGUUCGAUUCGGGGUCAGGUGU